UACGAAGGGGGCUAGCGUUGCUCGGAAUCACUGGGCGUAAAGGGUGCGUAGGCGGUUCUUUAAGUCAGGGGUGAAAUCCCGCAGCUCAACUGUUGAAGUGCCCUUGAUACUGAUGAGCUCGAGGGAGGUAGGGGUGUGUGGAACUUCCGGUGGAGCGGUGAAAUGCGUAGAUAUCGGAAGGAACGCCGGUGGCGAAAGCGACGCACUGGACCUCUACUGACGCUGAGGCGCGAAAGCUAGGGGAGCAAACGGG
rnacentral:rRNA from 1 species